UACGUAGGUGGCGAGCGUUGUCCGGAUUUACUGGGCGUGAAAGAGCGCGCAGGCGGUCGUUCAAGUCGCGUGUGAAAGCCCCCGGCUCAACUGGGGAGGGUCACGCGAUACUGAUCGACUCGAAGGCAGGAGAGGGAAGUGGAAUUCCCGGUGUAGUGGUGAAAUGCGUAGAUAUCGGGAGGAACACCGGUGGCGAAGGCGGGUCUCUGGGCCGAUACUGACGCUGAGGAGCGAAAGCGUGGGGAGCGAACAGG
rnacentral:rRNA from 1 species